UAGAAAGAAGCUCGCUGGAUAGAGUUUUUAGUUGUUACCUAAAUUGUCGCGGGAUCGAGGCCCGUCUUUCUAG
rnacentral:tRNA from 1 species